rnacentral:misc_RNA from 1 species
CAUAUUAACGACGCUGACCGGUUCGAACACUUAGCCAUGAGGCGUAGCCAGGCGCUUUUCUUGCAUUCGACCGCCGCGUGCCUUUUGAGUGCAGGAAAGCUGUCGCAGUACGAACAAGAGGCUUACGAGGCGCACCGCCGUUUCGCGGAGUCGCAAACCUACCCUGGCCCGAUUCGGGCGGCAACUCCUGGUGAUACCCGAUUUUAUAUGGGAAGUGCCGAGACUAUUCUACAGGAGAACGAGCGGCACUACUGGCGUGCCGUCGUUGAUGAUCCACACGUGCAGCACCUUGUACCCCUGCGCAUCCGCUUCAAAACGUUUAUCUGGGUCACCAGUGGCUGGGAGCAGCGGAUGCAAGUCGUGCAAGUGAUGGCGCAGCGUGACUCGACCAUAGCCGAACUCAUGCAACAGAUAAGGAUUGAGAAUCAGUCGCCCUAUUUAUGCACCUCUUCGUUUAAGCUGUGCAUCGAUGGCAAAGAUUUAGAUGAGCUGAAAACUCUUGCCGAUUACGAUAUCGAUGAAUAUUCUCGUAUAGACGCUAUCGAAGAGAACGAUCAUCUGCUGCACACAGAAGCUGAGAAACUGAAGGAUUGGAACGUAGAUGAGAUGCCGGAGGAUGUGUUGCUGAGGAGCCCGUACAAGGAGAUGGCAAUGCAACCACAGCCGAAUUUGGCUCCACGCUACGAGGCAAAGCCGAAAGGGUACUAUGGAAAGAAUGACUAUAGCGGAAUGAAGCAGUCGUCCUGAUUUCUUCGGCGCCGAAAGUGUUAUGGCGGCUUGGCGGCAAAAGCGGCCGCAGCAAUAUAUAUAAUAAAUUUUAUACAUUGUGUGUGUGUGUGUUUGUUUGUUUGUGUUUAUCCUUUGAGGAGUUAAGUCUCCCACAUG